CCGUCGGGACUUUAUUCGUCACGUAUCAGAAUCGACGAGAAUACUUUACCUUUCUUUUUUUCUCUUUUCUCUUUUUAUCUCCCUCGAGAAAAUAAAUCAAAAUAUUACCUAUUAUUAAUAUAUAAUUAUAUACGCGUAAUUAUUAUAAACACGUAAUUAUUUAAAGUGAAUAGUUUCAUGCGACUAACCUAUAAAAAGAAAAGAAAAGAAAAGAAAAAAAAAAAAGAAAAAAAAAAGGAAGAAGAUGACCCCCGAUGACCCUUCAGAAACAUUGUCUUACAAAAUCCACUGUAUCAGAAGAAAAAUGAAGUGACGCGAGGAUGCUUCAACGUAAUUGGUUCAAUCCCGUCCAACGAGAAUGAGUUAGCAACAAAGAUGCAAAAGCACGUUGGAUGGGUGCAUCAGCAUUCGAGAAAAGAGAAGGUGGCUUUCGUGAUUACCGGCGCCGGAAGGACGAUUUAUUUUCUGAAUAUAUUAUACUCACGAUACUCUUGGAAGAUUAGAGAUCUUGUCAACUUUCUUCAGGCAAUGGAAAUAAGUUGGGUUGGAAAUGGCAGAAAAGAAACUUGGAACGAUACGUUCACCGCGAAAAGAAGAAUAAAAGGAAUAAGAAAAGAGAAAGAAGUGGAGGAGAGAAGGAGGAAGAAAGAGAAGGGGGUCGGAAGCAAGAAGAAGCACGACCUCGUGGGCCACGACGCGAGUCAGAAGUAUCGACGUUUCCGGAGUAUCGUCCAGCCGCUCAUCCGUUCGAAAACUUUCGAAUCACGAGCAGGCACGCCUUAGCAAGACACGAGUAUUACUUCGAGAAGCUCUCUUUCUCUUUCCCUCUAUCCAAUCUUUCCCUCUUUCGUUCUCUUUUCUUUCCGUCCCCUAUUUCUUCUUACCAAACUAAUACGAAAGUUUGACGGAGAGUAGUUGGGGAACAAAUAUUUCGUUGGAUCUUCCAAGUGCAAUAAACCGAGCCGACGAAGUAGCGAAGAAUGGUGAUACGUGCUUUUGGCGAACGGACUCGAUUAUUCGUGUGUGAGAACGAAAAAGAGAGAGAAAGAGAAUGAGAGAAAGAAAGAGAGAGAAAGAGAAAGAGAAAGAGAGAGAGAGAGAGAGAGAAAAGAUCGAAACCAAUUCGUUCUAUCGUGCCCUCGAGUCUAUUUGGAAGCCAAUCGCUCUAGUCGUGCACCAACCUACUAUGUGUAUAUAUCUAUAUACAUAUACAUAUAUAUAUAUAUAUAUAUAUAUAUAUAUGUAUGUAUAUUCGAUAACGUUUCCAUUCGAGGCUAAUCGUUCAAAGGUCGAGAGUAGGGCAGUUAGGUUUGGAACUCGUUCGAGGAAAUAUUCGCAAAUUAUUCCGUCUGCUUUUCAAAAGCGUUGGUUUAUACCUGUAUACAUAUAACAUGUAACAUGGGUGCACACGGCAAGGAUGUAGGUCACAUCCGAAAGCUUUGUCAUUUGGCUGACCUUAAUAUCGUCAUAGAAACGUCUGUUCCACGGAGCAUUUAUGAUGUCAGAGUAUAAAGGGACGUUAUAUCGCUCGACAUAUGUAUAUAUCUACGUUAGAGCGAAUUAAUCGUUUCAAUUCUCUCUCUCUCUCUCUCUCUCUCUCUCUCUCUCUCUUUCGAUAGCCAGCGUCAUUUCAUCUACUCCAACAUAUAUAUUACUCUAUUAUAUUGUACAUCAAAAUUCAGAUAAUCGAGAAUAUCAAGAUUUCCUUGUUAAAAUGAUACAACAAGAUUUUCUUUCAAUAUUUCGUUCGAGACCAUAUCGUUGUUCCUUUCAAGUUCCUUUAUCUUAUCCUUUAUGUCGUCAUAUCUUCGUAUAGUAAAAAGCGUGUCACGUUACUCGACUUCUUUCGUUUGUCUUUCCGCGAAAAAACGGAAAUGCGUAGACGUUAUGCAAGAGGAUCGCGAGAUACAUCUGUUGCUGAUGCUACUGAUGUUGUUCCUACUGGUGCUGCUGCUGCUGCUGCUGCUGCCAUAGGUGCUGUAGCUACCUCUCGUGGUAGGUAACUCAGUUUGUGUCUUCGUAAAUUGGAUGUACUACUAAGGUGAAAAUGCAAAUUUUCUCUCUCGCUGUCCGCGUUGAUAUUUGUUCAAGUGUCGAGGGAAACGUUACUACGAAGCGACUACGACAUUCGUUCGCUUGCCGCUUUAUCUCGACAAAAUUUGCAUUAUCUUGUCGUCGCUCCGUUUGUCCCGACGUCAUAUAUAGCUCUCAGUUUUAAACGACUU